rnacentral:tRNA from 1 species
GGCGGAUGUAGCCAAGUGGAUCAAGGCAGUGGAUUGUGAAUCAAGGCAGUGGAUU